GGGGAAUUUUGGACAAUGGGCGCAAGCCUGAUCCAGCAAUGCCGCGUGCAGGAUGAAGGCCUUCGGGUUGUAAACUGCUUUUGUACGGAACGAAAAGCCUCUCUCUAAUACAGGGGGGUGAUGACGGUACCGUAAGAAUAAGCACCGGCUAACUACGUGCCAGCAGCCGCGGUAAUACGUAGGGUGCAAGCGUUAAUCGGAAUUACUGGGCGUAAAGAGCACGUAGGCGGCCUUGCAAGUCAGAUGUGAAAUCCAACGGCUUAACCGUUGAACUGCAUUUGAAACUGCAAGGCUAGAGUAUGGGAGAGGUAGGUGGAAUUCUCGGUGUAGGGGUAAAAUCCGUAGAGAUCGAGAGGAAUACUCAUUGCGAAGGCGACCUGCUGGAACAUUACUGACGCUGAGGUGCGAAAGCGUGGGGAGCAAACA
rnacentral:rRNA from 1 species